CAGUCGCCACGGUAAUACGGAGGGGGCUAGCGUUGUUCGAAAUUACUGGGCGUAAAGCGCACGUAGGCGGCUUGGUAAGUUAGAGGUGAAAGCCCGGAGCUCAACUCCGGAAUUGCCUUUAAGACUGCCGAGCUAGUAGGUGAGAGAGGUAAGUGGAAUUCCGAGUGUAGAGGUGAAAUUCGUAGAUAUUCGGAAGAACACCAGUGGCGAAGACGGCUUACUGGCUCAUUCUAGACGCUGAGGUGCGAAAGCGUGGGGAGCAAACAGGAUUAGAGACCCGCGUAGUCCCUGUCUCUUAUAU
rnacentral:rRNA from 1 species